rnacentral:rRNA from 1 species
GGAGUGGACUCCUACGGGAGGCAGCAGUGGGGAAUAUUGCGCAAUGGGGGCAACCCUGACGCAGCCAUGCCGCGUGAAUGGGGAAGGCCUUCGGGUUGUAAAGUUCUUUCGGUAGCGAGGAAGGCAUUUAGUUUAAUAGACUAGGUGAUUGACGUUAACUACAGAAGAAGCACCGGCUAACUCCGUGCCAGCAGCCGCGGUAAUACGGAGGGUGCGAGCGUUAAUCGGAAUAACUGGGCGUAAAGGGCACGCAGGCGGUUACUUAAGUCAGGUGUGAAAGCCCCGGGGUUAACCUGGGAAUUGCAUUUCAUACUGAGUCGCUAGAGUACUUUAGGGAGGGGUAGAAUUCCACGUGUAGCGGUGAAAGGCGUAGAGAUGUGGAGGAAUACCGAAGGCGAAGGCAGCCCCUUGGGAAUGUACUGACGCUCAUGUGCGAAAGCGUGGGGAGCAAACAGGAUUAGAUACCCCGGUAGUCCAGAGAA